rnacentral:rRNA from 1 species
UAAGGAAUAUUGCUCAAUGGGAGAAAUCCUGAAGCAGCAACGCCGCGUGGAGGAUGAAGGGUCUAUGACUUGUAAACUCCUGUAAAGAAGGAAAAAAUUCCCAUUAGAUGGGAGAUGAUGGUACUUCUGGGGUAAGCCCCGGCUAACUACGUGCCAGCAGCCGCGGUAAUACGUAGGGGGCAAGCGUUGUCCGGAUUUACUGGGUGUAAAGGGCGCGCAGGCGGGAUAAAAAGUCAGUGGUGAAAUCCUACAGCUUAACUGUAGAACUGCCUUUGAUACUUUUAUUCUUGAGUUCGGGAGAGAGAGACGGAAUUCCAGGUGUAGUGGUGAAAUACGUAGAUAUCUGGAAGAACACCAGUUGCGAAGGCGGUCUCUUGGUCCGACACUGACGCUGAGGCGCGAAAGCGUGGGGAGCAAACA